GACGAACGCUGGCGGCGUGCUUAACACAUGCAAGUCGAGCGGUAAGGCCUUUCGGGGUACACGAGCGGCGAACGGGUGAGUAACACGUGGGUGAUCUGCCCUGCACUUCGGGAUAAGCCUGGGAAACUGGGUCUAAUACCGGAUAUGACCUCCUAUCGCAUGGUGGGUGGUGGAAAGAUUUAUCGGUGCAGGAUGGGCCCGCGGCCUAUCAGCUUGUUGGUGGGGUAAUCGCCUACCAAGGCGACGACGGGUAGCCGACCUGAGAGGGUGACCGGCCACACUGGGACUGGGACACGGCCCAGACUCCUACGGGAGGCAGCAGUGGGGAAUAUUGCACAAUGGGCGAAAGCCUGAUGCAGCGACGCCGCGUGAGGGAUGACGGCCUUCGGGUUGUAAACCUCUUUCAGCAGGGACGAAGCGCAAGUGACGGUACCUGCAGAAGAAGCACCGGCUAACUACGUG
rnacentral:rRNA from 1 species